GAAGAAGAAAUUCUUUUCUUGGUUAUGUUACGUGAUUAUAAUUUUUGAACUUACAUAAUUGUAAUUGUAGAAUAAAAAUGUCAAUUGAACAACAAAAACCUUAUAAAUAUUUUGAUACGCCAGAUGGACAAGACACGUUUAAAAAGCUGUGGUGUAUACUAAGACCCACCGCCCUGGUAGCCUUUGGCAUUUCUACUUGCGAUGUAAUGUUAUAUUCUCAUCCCAAAGGUUAUUUGCAGACAUUAGGCCGAUAUGCUUAUGUAGGAUUGCCCAUUGUUGGUGUUAGUACCGCAUUUGUAUGUACAACUAAUCUAGCCGCCAGUCUAAGAAAGAAAGAUGAUAAGUUAAACUGGUUUCUGGGGGGUUUCGCUGCAGGAAGCGUUUUUGGAGUAUGGAGCAAAAAACCUAUGGUUGGUUUUAAUAUGGGCAUGUUUUUGGGUAUAUUUGCUCUUAUUAAGAAAACCGCGGUGGAACAUGGUUGGACGCUUCAUCCUGGCGAUGAUUUCAAAACUGUUUCUAGAGCCGCAUGGCCAGCCACUCCAGAUUUUACGCUAACUGCGGAGAGGCCAAGAAAUUGGACAACUACUAAAUCGUAAAUUAUUAACAAAUUUGUAGUGCUUGUUCAGUUACCUAAAUAAACAUAAAUGUCUGUUAAAAUUAAUCGGCAAGUAGAGUAUCAGCUGUAUAAAGAAUAUUUUUAAGGUGUAAUAAUAAAGUGUUGUAAAGAAAA